UACGUAGGGUGCAAGCGUUAAUCGGAAUUACUGGGCGUAAAGCGUGCGCAGGCGGUGAUGUAAGACAGAUGUGAAAUCCCCGGGCUCAACCUGGGAACUGCAUUUGUGACUGCAUCGCUGGAGUGCGGAAGAGGGGGAUGGAAUUCCGCGUGUAGCAGUGAAAUGCGUAGAUAUGAGGAGGAACACCGAUGGCGAAGGCAAUCCCCUGGGCCGGCACUGACGCUCAUGCACGAAAGCGUGGGGAGCAAACAGG
rnacentral:rRNA from 1 species